rnacentral:rRNA from 1 species
UACGUAGGGUGCAAGCGUUGUCCGGAAUUAUUGGGCGUAAAGAGCUCGUAGGCGGUUCGUCGCGUCUGCUGUGAAAUUUCGGGGCUCAACCCCGAACUUGCAGUGGGUACGGGCAGACUAGAGUGUGGUAGGGGAGACUGGAAUUCCUGGUGUAGCGGUGGAAUGCGCAGAUAUCAGGAGGAACACCAAUGGCGAAGGCAGCUCUCUGGUACAUGAUUGACGCUGAGACGCGAAAGCGUGGGGAGCGAACAGG